UACGUAGGGGGCAAGCGUUGUCCGGAAUCAUUGGGCGUAAAGAGCGUGUAGGCGGCCAGGUAGGUCGGUUGUGAAAACUGGAGGCUCAACCUUCAGAGGUCGACCGAAACCAUCUGGCUAGAGUCCGGGAGAGGAGAGUGGAAUUCCUGGUGUAGCGGUGAAAUGCGCAGAUAUCAGGAAGAACACCCGUGGCGAAAGCGGUCUCUGACGGUA
rnacentral:rRNA from 1 species